UGUCAAUGACAGUAGCCCUAAUGUCCUUUACGUACAAAUCAAUGAAUAUUUAGAUUUAAAAUGAGAAAUCACAGAUCAAGAGUACUUUUUUGCAAAUACAAUUUCUUAUUUUUUUUGUUUACAAUCACCUCAUACAAAUCAUCAAAUAUUAUGGUUCGUAGUGUCUUUUCUCUCCUCAGACAUUCAGAUAGGGGUUGCGUCCUUCCUACUCACUCCUGAAAAAAAUAAUUUUGAGAAAAUUCCUUCUCUUUUGCUAGUUCUAUAGAUAUGCAUAAAUUCCUUUGUAGAAAUUAGGACUAGUUACAUCUUAGUGUUAUUUCAGUCCAGUUGGGGAUGCUUUCUUUAAGCUUUUAAGCACUGGCAUAAUCCAACCAUUUUCUUUUUUGCCAGCCUCAACUUCCUGAAAAUUAAUGAAAACUAUAAAUCAUGCUAUGCAUCAUGGUCACAUGUUCACUAAGAGAAAUAUCAUCACACGUUUCAUUUUAUAUGAUGACAUUUAAUUGAACAUCGAGUAUUGGUUAUCAUUUUGACUUUUUAAGCUAUUAAUAGUGUUGAAAGAAAAAUAUAUGAUUUAGGAUGAGAGAAAAACCAUGUACUACUAAUUUAAAUUUGAUAAUUCAAAAAAUUAAAAAAUAACUAAACUAGUAAAGUCGGGUGGUUCGUAAACCAUUGAACAACUCAAAACAUUGGGUGAUCAGGCAUAAGCGAUUUCCUUAUUCUAGCCCACUGAUGAAGGUCAGACAACCCACACACAACAAAUGAAAUUUCUUGUUUUAUCCAAUGUAGAGGGUUCGAAACUCUACCCCUCCCCCCUUUCCCUCUAGCCCUACCCCACUCGCCCCUCUUAUUCAAUCCAAUUGGAGCAGUUCAAGUGUUUAACUGUCAUAAGGGAGAGGGCUCGAAUCCCCCACGGUCAAUAAAAACCAAUGUUUGAAGCUAGAGUCUUUUCACAUUAUUGCAUUAACAAUAAUUCACAGGGGAACUGGUUUGCUACCUCCUCGUUUCUAGAUUUCACAAUAGUUUCUUCUUUUUAUUUCCAAAUUCAUUCUUUUUCGUUUACUUAGGUAAAGCAGUCAAUAGAUCUCCACACUUCUAUUGGAAAUCCAUCUAGAGAGAGAGAGACUCUGACCUCUCUCUAAAUUUCCCUAACUAGCCUUUCUCACUAUGGCCACUAAGUCAAUUGCCCAAGCAGAAGCAUCACCCCACAAAUAUCACCGGACCCAGGAUGGAAGAGGACACCUCGGGGAGAAUCUUCUUUAAGGAAAUUCUAGCAGGAAAUAAAUCUCCUAGUCAAAAAACACUACUUAUUCCCAUGAUAUGACUAUCAUAGCCGAGGAUGAAGUUUCACACUCUUAAUUAGAUCCAACAAUUCCAAGUGAAGAUGAAAAGAAAAGAACCUAUAUGCCUUAGCUCCUAGAGAUGUGACAACCGGAAGAAGCCCUAAUCUUAAUUUUUUGUUGGGAUUUUUUCAUAGUCUAAAAACUAUCCUUCACGAAGGUGCCUGGUUCAUACUAGGGCAUUUCCUUUCAGUUUGUAAAUAGAAACCAAAUUUUGUACCAGCUGAAACAAAACUUUCUUUCACAGGCAUAUGGAUCUGAAUUCAUCAAUUAACGACUGAAUUCUAUGAUAGAAGCAUCAUCGAAAAAGUUGGUAACAGAAUCGGAAAGCUCCUGAAAGUUGAUACUUACACCUCAUCAACCUUGAGAGGGAGUUAUGGAAGGAUUUGUGUCAACGUUCCAUUGGAAACUCCGGUUAAAACAAUGGUUACCAUUAGUUCUCACCAGCAACCACUUGUGUAUGAGGGGGAAGGGAUACUCUUUAAGGGCUGUGGGUAAAUCGGUUAUAACCUAAAAGACUGCUCAUUCCAAACUAUCACAACACCCCAAGUUCCACCCACAAAUAAUUCCCCAGCCAGGAAAGAUGCCAGCUGACAGCGAAUGGAAGACAACUGAUUUUAAGAAAAAGAAGAAUGGUCAAACAACCAGUUCGACCAAAGAGUAUCAGGUCGGAUCUACUUCUUUGACUCGUGGCUGAUCGACUCUUCAGCUUCCACUUGAGUUUUCCAGGGUGAGCAUGGCGUCCGCUGACCUCGAAGACUCUUCUAUUGCUUAUGUCUUGCUUUCCAUUCAGAGACAUGAUUUGAGACUACUUAUGUAUUAUUAUUUAGACCUUUAGUAUUCGGAUUUAGAUGCUCUUGUAUGACCAGACCAGAUACCGGGGUGGAUUCAUUUACUUCCACACUUAUCUAUAUUAUAUCAUAUUGUGAGACUUCCGUUA